GUAAGGUAGUGGCCUACCAAGGUGAUAACGGGUAACGGGGAAUCAGGGUUCGAUUCCGGAGAGGGAGCCUGAGAAACGGCUACCACAUCCAAGGAAGGCAGCAGGCGCGCAAAUUACCCAAUCCAGACACUGGGAGGUGGUGACGAGAAAUACCGGGUCGUGCCCAAAAGGUUUCGACACUGGAAUGGGUGGAAUUUAAGAAUUUCCACGAGUAGCAACUGGAGGGCAAGUCUGGUGCCAGCAGCCGCGGUAAUUCCAGCUCCAGUAGUGUAUCUUAAAGUUGCCGCGGUUAAAACGCUCGUAGUUGGACAAGAGAGCGAUAAUGUGCGGGCGGGGAGUAAGCCUACCCUGUACUGACGAGCAAUCGAAUUGGCAUUAACCUGUCAGUUUGGUUGACUACGUUGUGCAGGUGUACUACUUGUCGACCAUGCUGCAUAGUCGCUUAUUUGAUCGUGAGAAUGUCAUAUGGCCUUAAAUGUGCUGUGUGACGUGUCUUACGUAGUGUGCCUUGAAUAAAUCAGAGUGCUCAAAGCAAGCUUACGCUUGAAUGUUAAUAGCAUGGAACGAAUGUUUAGUGAAAGCGUAAGCAGUGGGUUUACUUGUAUUCCUGCUGUUUACGCAGCACCAACUCCGAAUCGGAACAUUGGUAGCCGACUUCGGGUGAUGAUUAAGAGGGACAUUUGGGGGCAUUAGUAUUUGGACGCGAGAGGUGAAAUUCUUGGACCGUCCAAGGACUAACAAGUGCGAAAGCAUUUGCCAAGUAUGUUCCCUUUAAUCAAGAACGAAAGUGAGAGGUUCGAAGACGAUCAGAUACCGUCCUAGUUCUCACCGUAAACGAUGCCAACCCGGGAUCAGCUCGGAUGAUAUUAUAUGGAUCCAG
rnacentral:rRNA from 1 species